GGCUGGGAGAGCAACGCGGGGGAAGGGAGGAAAAGAAAGGGCUCUCCCCCCAUCUUUACGCAUGAGUGUCAUUCCCUCCCCACCCCCCCCCCCCGCGCAUGAAACAAAAGUAGAGGUGGAAACUGAGUGGGCAGGAUGGUAACAUUUGCUACGUUUAAUGUGAAUUGCAAUUAUGGAACAAAAUCGCUGUGAGGAGACAUACCCGACCCGUUCUUAAGACAACACAGUUAUUUGUGUUUCUCAUUCUUUGUGGUUAGGUGAAAUUCCUCCUCUGCUUAGGUAGCAGCUGCAGUCUGAUGAAAAAUAAUUAACUAAUGUUAUGCACUUGUGCAAAACAGAUUCUGCUAAUUAAGAGCUCCUAUUUACUCUAUCAUAAUAUACUUUAAAAUGGUAAUUAAUACCUCCAAACAAGGUGACAUCUCUUUCCAAGGCAGAAGAGUCAGUUAACCAAAUGAAAUCUUGCAAGGGGAGUUCAACUGCUUGUCCUUUACCGUGGAUGCUAACAUAAUUGAGUUAGAAAACUGUUUACAUGUGCACACAUACCCGUUGUGAGUGCUAGUUCUAGGCACUAAACAUCAGGGAAUGGGAAAGAGCAACUGCUUUCUUCAUUUACAGAAAUGGAAUAAAUAACUUGCUCCAAAGACUUACUGCAUCUAAUUGAAAUAAUUGCAGAAUGUUAUUUUGCAUUAUGCAGGUAGGCUGAUACCUGAAAACAAAUGCAGCUGAGACAUCAAUAAUUUGCGCAUCACAACAGAACUGAAAGUGAUCUGUGAUUAAUAUUCAACCAAUUAAAAACUGAAGUCUUUAAAAUGUAAACUCUCUUAAUUAUUGAACCAUUAGCAAAGUACUGCUCACAUAAAAGGGAAUGCAUGUAUAUAAAGGGCCCAGUUUAGAAGGAUUUGCAUGCAGUGUAAGCUGAAUUUUUCAAACUCUGUUUAAAUAAACUGAUGGGAUAGCAAGCAAAGAUCUAGGAUAAAAUUAAUUUAGGAAGAUACCUGAUUUAUAAGUCUGUUUUAACAACAGGCACAGAAAUGUGUAAAGAUCAAGGUGCCAGUUUUUCAACCAGCUACAUUAAACUGGAUGUUAAACUGUUUCCUUGCUUAUGUAGUAGCUGAAAGAGCAUAUAGACAGUGUCAAAGAUAGAUCACUAUUCCCACCACCAAUCAAACAACUGCUUAGAGACCAAAUAGAAAAUCAAACACGGAGCAUAAUAAAAGAUCAUAUUUUAACCAGGAAAACCGUGAAAUGAGUAAGUAUUUAAGGGAACUGAAAUUGCACUGUAACCAAAUAAUUCUUGAUGUUUCUAUUACAAGUGGUUAUUAACAAUGACAUAUGUUAAUGGUGUUGUAGAACUUAUCUGAGAAGGAAACUUAGUUAUGCAAUACAAUGUCAUUAUUAGGGUUUUAGCAUGUCGUAUUUUUAUAUUUAUUUCUAAUUUGCAGUCGCAAAAAAUAACUCCUUUUCCAAAUCUUUUUUGACCAAUUGGGUGGUUUCUAAGCUACUUUUCCUAACCUACAACAUGUCAAACUCACUAAGAUUUAGACUUAUACGUCAGGACAACAAACCAAACCAAACUGAGGAUGAUUUUAAAGUAUAACAUAAGCACAAGCUUAAGGUCAAGACUGUGGUCCAAGAUGAUGACGUGCUUACUGAAUAAAUCACUUUAAGGGGUUACAUCCUACAAUCACUUGGUUGUACCCCUUUCUUUAAGAUCUGGCUGGAAGUUCUGUCACCAUCAGUAGAAAUUUUCGUCUGACCUGAUGGUAGAUAGUUACUGGAAGACAGCAGAGACAGAAAGAGCAAGUUGGAUUAUCUGGUCUGGUUCCCUGAAGUUUACAAGAUUACUUUAGGCUGCACACCAUGCCCAUUAUUGUAAUCUCUAACAUUUUCUUAAAUUUCUUGCUGUGAUGGAACCUCAUUCAUCUCCUUUGAUUUUUUUCUCUGUUGUUUGCCACAGGAGCAUGUAUUUUUCCUUCUUCAGUUUAGCAGAAGAAGAGCAAAGGCUAACAAGCAGAUAGAUUAGUAACACGAUUUUCUGCAAAGAGAAGUAUCUGAGGAAAAAGUAGAAAUGUGAGAAGUAUCUGAGGAAAAAGUAGAAAUGUGAGAAUUACUAGUUCCUGCCCAAGGAGACACACACAGGGUAGCAUUCAGUAAUGAUAGAAUUAGCUCGUCAGUAAUGUCAUUAGCAUAACCAAGUAGAAGAUCUUGGGAGAGAAAGGUAAUAUUUACUCUUGGCAACCGAAAUUCAUCGUGCAAUCUGCUCAGAAAUUACAGAAGCCUAUUUAUAUUUUGUUUCCUUUCAUGUUUUUGGGAGAGCUCUUAAAACUAUGCUUUUCCUCUCAACACACAGACAUGCUUGUUCACUUACCUCUCCCAACUUACUUCCAGGCUGAUACAGGAACUUGAAACUGAAACUGUUUGUUCAAAGUCUGCCAGGAGAAAAGCCUUCCUGUAACAGAAUCAUCCAAAUGCAGAAGCCAGUCAAGAUGCUGAAUCUACUGCUCACAGCAGGAAACCUUGGAGAGCACUUUCCUCAAGCUGUUUGGCACACAUGCAAAUAGAACUUCAGCUGAAGUCAAGGGGAGUCCUGUGCAAUAAGUUGUUUUGUUUUUUCAUCCACAGUGAUUUUCUGAGUGAGAAAUCAACUGAUAGGAAACAGGAGCUAAACACCCUACUCAUUCCUGGGCAUUCCCAGGAGUCCUCUUCAAUGUGCAACAAGUAACCCAUCACCCGCUGGAGGAAAGCAUCACCUGAGAAAACACUAAAUGGGUUGUUCACCCUCCAGCUCACUGUCAGAAGCUAAAGCCAAGCCUGGCCUAUCCUCCUGCCCCUUGAGUCAAGGAAAAGUGCGAAGUCAGAAGAGAAAGACAUUAUUAAAAAAAUAAUGGAUGAAGAACAUACCUGGGAUAUUUUUCUGCAAAGGUUGUACAAUAUGAAGUUAAAUGAAAAACCUAGAAGCAGCUGCUGUUGUCCUACACAAGUCUCUUGUGGAAGCUGUUCACUAAACUGAUUUUUCAAGAAAAGAAAUACAUUUAGAAUAAGGACUCUGUGCUAGAAAACUUUGACAUUAUUGAAUACACUGAAUCAUAAAAUAACACUUCAUCCUCCCUGAGUGAACGGCCUGUUAACUGAAUAAAAGAAUUAUGUCCAUGUACUGCAGAGAAAAUUUAAAGAAAUUUGACUGUGGUUGGAAAUGAUAGAUGAUCGGAAGGAAAGAGGUACUCUAACAAGGGGGGGAAAUAUAUUGUGUUACAAGGCUUGUUUCUUCAUUUGCUCCUGAUAACUUUGUAUUCAACAGUAGAGCAGGGGAAAUCUUUUGUGCUCUGAAUAUCAUACCUGUUAGGCUUCCAGUCAGGAUUGGAGGGGUUGAGGUCACUUGACAUUAACAGAAUGCGAAUUUAGAAAAUUCUGUUUUAAGUUCUCACUCCUCCACAUUUUCCUCACAGGUGAGAUUAUCACCUUCUGGAAUUCCAUAGACUUAAGGUGGGCUUCUCACACAUGUAAAGGUCGGUGCUGUAACCCCUUCAUUAAAC